CCCUUAGAUGUCCUGGGCCGCACGCGCGUUACACUGAUGCAUUCAACGAGCUUAUAACCUUGGCCGAGAGGCCUGGGCAAUCUUGUUAACGUGCAUCGUGAUAGGGAUAGAUUAUUGAAAUUAUUAAUCUUGAACGAGGAAUUCCUAGUAAACGCAGAUCAUCAAUCUGCAUUGAUUACGUCCCUGCCCUUUGUACACACCGCCCGUCGCACCUACCGAUUGAAUGGUCCGGUGAAGCCUCGGGAUUGUGGUUAGUUUCCUUCAUUGGAAGUUAGCCGCGAGAACUUGUCUAAACCUUAUCAUUUAGAGGAAGGUGAAGUCGUAACA
rnacentral:rRNA from 1 species